UGGACAAUGGGCGCAAGCCUGAUCCAGCAAUGCCGCGUGCAGGAUGAAGGCCUUCGGGUUGUAAACUGCUUUUGUACGGAACGAAAAGGCUCUGGUUAAUACCUGGGGCUCAUGACGGUACCGUAAGAAUAAGCACCGGCUAACUACGUGCCAGCAGCCGCGGUAAUACGUAGGGUGCAAGCGUUAAUCGGAAUUACUGGGCGUAAAGCGUGCGCAGGCGGUGAUGUAAGACAGGCGUGAAAUCCCCGGGCUCAACCUGGGAAUGGCGCUUGUAACUGCAUCGCUGGAGUGCGGCAGAGGGGGAUGGAAUUCCGCGUGUAGCAGUGAAAUGCGUAGAUAUGCGGAGGAACACCAAUGGCGAAGGCAAUCCCCUGGGCCUGCACUGACGCUCAUGCACGAAAGCGUGGGGAGCAAACAGGAUUAGAUACCCUGGUAGUCCACGCCCUAAACGAUGUCAACUGGUUGUUGGUCCUUAGCUGGAUCAGUAACGAAGCUAACGCGUGAAGUUGACCGCCUGGGGAG
rnacentral:rRNA from 1 species